AUUGAACGCUGGCGGCAUGCCUUACACAUGCAAGUCGAACGGCAGCACGGGAGCAAUCCUGGUGGCGAGUGGCGAACGGGUGAGUAAUAUAUCGGAACGUGCCCAGUCGUGGGGGAUAACGCAGCGAAAGCUGUGCUAAUACCGCAUACGAUCUAUGGAUGAAAGCGGGGGAUCGCAAGACCUUGCGCGAUUGGAGCGGCCGAUAUCAGAUUAGCUAGCUGGUGGGGUAAAGGCCCACCAAGGCGACGAUGUGUAGCUGGUCUGAGACGACGACCAGCCGGACUGGAACUUAGCACCUGAACAUGCUCCUACGGGAUGCAGGAUGGGGGAAUUUUGGGCAACGAACACAAGCCUGAUCCAGCUAUACCGCGUGCAGGGUCAAGUCCUUCUGGUUGUAAACUGCUUUUGUACGGAACGGAACGGUCUGCCCUAGUUCAGGGGGCUCAUGACUGUACCGUAAGAAUAAGCACCGGCUAACUAGGGGCCAGCCGCCGCCGUAA
rnacentral:rRNA from 1 species